AUACGGAGGAUGCAAGCGUUAUCCGGAUUUAUUGGGUUUAAAGGGUGCGUAGGCUGUUCGGAAAGUCAGGGGUGAAAGCCCGGCGCCUAACGCCGGAACUGCCUUUGAUACUUCCGAGCUGGAAUACGGAUGCCGUGGGAGGAAUGUGUAGUGUAGCGGUGAAAUGCAUAGAUAUUACUCAGAACACCGAUUGCGAAGGCAUCUCACGAAUCCGUCAUUGACGCUGAGGCACGAAAGCGUGGGGAUCAAACAGGAUUAGAUACCCUGGUAGUCCACGCAGUAAACGAUGAUGACUAACCGUCGGCGAUACACAGUCGGUGGCCAAGCGAAAGCGAUAAGUCAUCCACCUGGGGAGUACGUUCGCAAGAAUGAAACUCAAAGGAAUUGACGGG
rnacentral:rRNA from 1 species